CUUUAACUCACACUCCUAACC
rnacentral:piRNA from 1 species